rnacentral:rRNA from 1 species
AUAAAUAAGCAGAGGAAAAGAAACCAAAUGGGAUUUCCUGAGUAACGGCGAGCGAAAGGGAAAGAGUCCAGCGCCAAGUCUUGACAUCUGACGAUGUUCAAGAGAUGCGGCGUUAAUGCGUUGGUGCAUCGUGCAUCGUUUUCGAUUUCAAGUUUCCUUGACUGGAACAUCCAGAGCGGGUGCUAGGCCCAUAGAGAUCGAAAACCGUUGUACGCCGRCCAAUGCAUUCUAGAGUCAGGUUGCUUGAGAGUGCAGCCUAAAGUCGGUGGUAAACUCCAUCCAAGACUAAAUAUGACAGCGAGACCGAUAGCAAACAAGUACCGUGAGGGAAAGUUGCAAAGCACUUUGAAGAGAGAGUUAAAUAGUACGUGAAACCACUGGGAGGCAAACGGAUGGAGCCACGAAGUUUGCGCUUCGGUUGAUUCAAUCAUUGUCGGCGGUCAGGUGUACGUGAAUGACGAAUCUCUUCGGAGAUUGUUUACGUGCUCGUACGAUCGACGACCAUGAUGCAUUUCAUGCCGAAGCUGUAAAGCCACGUUUGACCGUAGCUGGAACGGCCGUAGGAAAGGAUUCCGGAAAGGUGUCCGUCUGUUGCUUGCAAGAGGCGGCGUUAUAGGCCGGAAUCGGCACCGUUUCCGAGCAUARCGGUCAAGUGAUAUGAUCCAGAUGGAUCGAGUUCAUGUUUGCCUGUGAUCACAAGUUAACGUUGGUUUGUGUUAUUUUUCGUGUCCUUGGGCGCGAAAAAUGCAUGCUCAUGCGAUGGCUUGUGGUUGCUUGCGUUUCAUGAAGAAACGGUGGCGCGAGUAGGUCGGCGUCCAUCCGACCCGUCUUGAAACACGGACCAAGGAGUCUAUCAUAUACGCGAGUCGCACGGUCUUGUUUAGGCCCGUGAGGCACAAUGAAAGUAAAGCUAUGAGGCUUCGGCUGCAAUAGUGGCUCGCCUACUUCGUUUAUUGGCGAUCUGGCGAAGCUGGAGCGUAUACGAUGGGACCCGAAAGAUGGUGAACUAUGCCUGGGCAAGACGAAGCCAGAGGAAACUCUGGUGGAGGUCUGUAGCGAUUCUGACGUGCAAAUCGAUCGUCAGACCUGGGUAUAGGUGCGAAAGACUAAUCGAACCAUCUAGUAGCUGGUUUCCUCCGAAGUUUCCCUCAGGAUAGCAGGCGCCUGUAAAUUUCAGUCUCAUCCGGUAAAGCUAAUGAUUAGAGGUCUUGGGAUUGAAACGAUCUCAACCUAUUCUCAAACUUUAAAUGGGUGAGAUGGUUGACUUGCUUGAUUUGAAGCCAACCAUUUGGAUGUAGGUGCCUUGUGGGCCAGCUUUGGUAAGCAGAACUGGCGAUGUGGGAUGAACCAAACGUCGAGAUAAGGAAUCAAAUGCAUACGCUCAUGAGAUCCCACAAAAGGUGUUGGUUGCUAUAGACAGCAGGACGGUGGCCAUGGAAGUCGGAAUCCGCUAAGGAGUGUGUAACAACUCACCUGCCGAAGCAACUAGCCCUGAAAAUGGACGAUGCUGUAGCGUGGAUCCGAUGCUCGACCGUAAUGGCGUGACGUUACAAUGCGAUGCGAUUACGAGUAGGAGGACCGUAAUGAUAGCGUGGAAGGUGUCGGACGUAGGUCCGCCUGGAGCUGUCAUUAUUGCAGAUCUUGGUGGUAGUAGCAAAUACUCAAGUGAGAAUCUUGAGGACUAAGGAGGAGAAGGGUUCCAUGUGAACAGCAGUUGGACAUGGUUCAGUCGGUCCUAAGGAAGCGGAGAAAUCCGUUAAAACAGUCCCAAUUAAUSAAAUGAAAAAUGAAAAAGAAACGGUGACUGAUUUUCCGAAAGGGAAUCAGGUUAAUAUUCCUGAACUGAGACACGAAGGAUGUGCUCUCGGGCACUAAUGCGGUAACGCAAUCAAAUUCGGAGACAUCGGCCAUAGCUCCGGGAAGAGUUGUCUUUUCUCUAUAAGGUGUCGAAUCCAUGAAAACAGCUUGUCUGGAGAUAUGGAUGUUGAGGCCGAAGAGCUCCGCGGUUCUUGCAGAGUCCGGUGCGCUAUGGUCGGUCCUUGAAAAUCCGAAGGCGAGGUUUACCUUUGUGCUCAGCCGUACCAAUAUCCGCAGCAGGUCUCCAAGGUUAGCAGCCUCUAGUUUCUAGAAUAAUGUAGGUAAGGGAAGUCGGCAAAACUGAUCCGUAACUUCGGGAUAAGGAUUGGCUCUGAAGAAUGGGCCGUUCGGGCUGUGUCCAGAUGUUGGCAGUGCGUCUGACGGGGACUGGUGUGCUGGCAACGGUGUGCCGGGCCCAUGUUGACGUUUGCCAGCGGAAGUUCAUGGCUACGCCUCGGUGCCCUGUGUGCCGAGUGUCGUUUCGGGCGGCAUGAAACAUUCGACUCAGAACUGGCACGGACCACGGGAAUCCGACUGUCUAAUUAAAACAAAGCAUUGCGAUGGCCGGAGAYCGGUGUUGACGCAAUGUGAUUUCUGCCCAGUGGUAUGAAUGUCAAUGUGAAGAGAUUCACUUAAGCGCUAC